AUAGAGAUUUUGUGGAGGUGUUCAUCAAAUCAAUCACUAAGAAAAGGAGAUACAGUAGCUAUUCGUUUUUUGUUCAUAGUAAAAAAAAGUGGUCUUUGUUCCACUAAAGCUACAAGAGUUAUUCUUCUUUGUUCAAGUUGUAGCAACAAUCCGUGAUUGACAUCUAUAAAAUUUGUUCUUGGAGUUAGCUGCUGGGAUUAGCGAAAAAGUCACGAUGAUGACGACUCGGAAAGCAUCGAAAGAUUAGAUGUUGCAGCUGAUGAUGUACUCGGAGAUGAAAAUGGGAUUGAUUCAAAACUGUUCUAUAAAAGACAACCUUUCCAGGUUAAAUGCCUCAUGUGAAUGUCUAACAAUGCCUUAUGUACCCUGAUUGACAUAUUAAGUCUCACGGGGUCCCUAUCAGUCUAUCAGCCAUACCCCUGUAAGGUAGUAGGUAGUCGCGAACAAAGGCAGCUUGACCAGUGUACCGGUGCAGAUACGGCAGGAAAAAUAUCUCAUUGCUGGAAGCAGUGUUUGAAUUCCUUCUCAUUUUUGGAUUCACUGUGUUAGUGCCCUUGAUGGUGUAGCAUGUAAAGUAUCUCGAACCUCAGAGAAGAUUAGCUUCUAAAGCUGUGUGCGCAAGGAUUACAAAUUAACGAAUCUCGCUUGGAGGGUACACAUGAAAAGGCGCUGACGGUGGCAGUGGCAGAGGCGGUGAAAAGAAGAAGAAUCAUUCAAAAAAAAGGUGGUGUCACUGGUGGAGGCGGUGAAAAAACUGGUCUCGGUUUAGCUAAUAAUAAGAAAGAUGUUUUUGUGGCUAGAUGCAGACAUUGCAGGAGGUGUGUUCGAAUCAUCCCGGAACCAGAACAAAAUGGUAUGGGUUUAUCUAAUAAGAAGGAUGAGAAUUUGUCCGUGGUGAACAAACAUGUUGGUUCACUUUGAUUCACAUUGCAUUGUCUCCACUGCGAUGUUUUCGAUAUAAUUUUUUGUUGCUAUCCAGGGUUUUGAGAGUGGUAUAGCUGCUCUAGAUACCGGUGUUUUUGCAUGGGAAACAACUCUAUAUACCUGAUUCUAUUGCAGACCAGUUCUGUUAGAGAAAAGGCUAUAAACCACACCAGAUUAUAUUACAUCUAUAUAACAAGUACAGUUGAAUGAGUUAGAUCA